rnacentral:rRNA from 1 species
UGCGUUGUUGGGUAGGGGAGCGUUCUGUAAGCCUGCGAAGGUGUGCUGUGAGGCAUGCUGGAGGUAUCAGAAGUGCGAAUGCUGACAUAAGUAACGAUAAAGCGGGUGAAAAGCCCGCUCGCCGGAAGACCAAGGGUUCCUGUCCAACGUUAAUCGGGGCAGGGUGAGUCGACCCCUAAGGCGAGGCCGAAAGGCGUAGUCGAUGGGAAACAGGUUAAUAUUCCUGUACUUGGUGUUACUGCGAAGGGGGGACGGAGAAGGCUAUGUUGGCCGGGCGACGGUUGUCCCGGUUUAAGCGUGUAGGCUGGUUUUCCAGGCAAAUCCGGAAAAUCAAGGCUGAGGCGUGAUGACGAGGCACUACGGUGCUGAAGCAACAAAUGCCCUGCUUCCAGGAAAAGCCUCUAAGCAUCAGGUAACAUCAAAUCGUACCCCAAACCGACACAGGUGGUCAGGUAGAGAAUACCAAGGCGCUUGAGAGAACUCGGGUGAAGGAACUAGGCAAAAUGGUGCCGUAACUUCGGGAGAAGGCACGCUGAUAUGUAGGUGAAGUCCCUUGCGGAUGGAGCUGAAAUCAGUCGAAGAUACCAGCUGGCUGCAACUGUUUAUUAAAAACACAGCACUGUGCAAACACGAAAGUGGACGUAUACGGUGUGACGCCUGCCCGGUGCCGGAAGGUUAAUUGAUGGGGUCAGCGCAAGCGAAGCUCUUGAUCGAAGCCCCGGUAAACGGCGGCCGUAACUAUAACGGUCCUAAGGUAGCGAAAUUCCUUGUCGGGUAAGUUCCGACCUGCACGAAUGGCGUAAUGAUGGCCAGGCUGUCUCCACCCGAGACUCAGUGAAAUUGAACUCGCUGUGAAGAUGCAGUGUACCCGCGGCAAGACGGAAAGACCCCGUGAACCUUUACUAUAGCUUGACACUGAACAUUGAGCCUUGAUGUGUAGGAUAGGUGGGAGGCUUUGAAGUGUGGACGCCAGUCUGCAUGGAGCCGGCCUUGAAAUACCACCCUUUAAUGUUUGAUGUUCUAACGUGGACCCGUGAUCCGGGUUGCGGACAGUGUCUGGUGGGUAGUUUGACUGGGGCGGUCUCCUCCUAAAGAGUAACGGAGGAGCACGAAGGUUGGCUAAUCCUGGUCGGACAUCAGGAGGUUAGUGCAAUGGCAUAAGCCAGCUUGACUGCGAGCGUGACGGCGCGAGCAGGUGCGAAAGCAGGUCAUAGUGAUCCGGUGGUUCUGAAUGGAAGGGCCAUCGCUCAACGGAUAAAAGGUACUCCGGGGAUAACAGGCUGAUACCGCCCAAGAGUUCAUAUCGACGGCGGUGUUUGGCACCUCGAUGUCGGCUCAUCACAUCCUGGGGCUGAAGUAGGUCCCAAGGGUAUGGCUGUUCGCCAUUUAAAGUGGUACGCGAGCUGGGUUUAGAACGUCGUGAGACAGUUCGGUCCCUAUCUGCCGUGGGCGCUGGAGAACUGAGGGGGGCUGCUCCUAGUACGAGAGGACCGGAGUGGACGCAUCACUGGUGUUCGGGUUGUCAUGCCAAUGGCACUGCCCGGUAGCUAAAUGCGGAAGAGAUAAGUGCUGAAAGCAUCUAAGCACGAAACUUGCCCCGAGAUGAGUUCUCCCUGACCCUUUAAGGGUCCUGAAGGAACGUUGAAGACGACGACGUUGAUAGGCCGGGUGUGUAAGCGCAGCGAUGCGUUGAGCUAACCGGUACUAAUGAACCGUGAGGCUUAACCUUACAACGCCGAAG